UACAGAGGUGGCAAGCGUUGUUCGGAAUUACUGGGCGUAAAGGGCGCGUAGGCGGCCUUCUUAGUCGGACGUGAAAUCCCCAGGCUCAACUUGGGAACUGCGUCCGAUACUGGAUGGCUUGAGUGCGGGAGAGGGAUGUGGAAUUCCAGGUGUAGCGGUGAAAUGCGUAGAUAUCUGGAGGAACACCGGUGGCGAAGGCGGCAUCCUGGACCGACACUGACGCUGAGGCGCGAAAGCUAGGGGAGCAAACAGG
rnacentral:rRNA from 1 species